rnacentral:rRNA from 1 species
AUGAACGCUGGCGGCGUACCUAAUACAUGCAAGUCGAGCGAACAGACGAGGAGCUUGCUCCUCUGACGUUAGCGGCGGACGGGUGAGUAACACGUGGAUAACCUACCUAUAAGACUGGGAUAACUUCGGGAAACCGGAGCUAAUACCGGAUAAUAUAUUGAACCGCAUGGUUCAAUAGUGAAAGACGGUUUUGCUGUCACUUAUAGAUGGAUCCGCGCCGCAUUAGCUAGUUGGUAAGGUAACGGCUUACCAAGGCAACGAUGCGUAGCCGACCUGAGAGGGUGAUCGGCCACACUGGAACUGAGACACGGUCCAGACUCCUACGGGAGGCAGCAGUAGGGAAUCUUCCGCAAUGGGCGAAUGCCUGACGGAGCAACGCCGCGUGAGUGAUGAAGGUCUUCGGAUCGUAAAACUCUGUUAUUAGGGAAGAACAAAUGUGUAAGUAACUAUGCACGUCUUGACGGUACCUAAUCAGAAAGCCACGGCUAACUACGUG